rnacentral:SRP_RNA from 1 species
CGCGGGAGUCGGGCGGACGCCGUCUUCGCCAACCCGGUCAGGUCCGGAAGGAAGCAGCCGCAACGAAUUCGCGGCGGGUCGUUCCGGCUCCCACCCCA